rnacentral:rRNA from 1 species
GAUGAACGCUGGCGGCGUGCCUAAUACAUGCAAGUCGAACGCGCAGCGAGAGGUGCUUGCACCUUUCAAGCGAGUGGCGAACGGGGUGAGUAACACGUGGAUAACCUGCCUCAAGGCUGGGGAUAACAUUUGGAAACAGAUGCUAAUACCGAAUAAAACUUAGUAUCGCAUGAUAUCAAGUUAAAAGGCGCUACGGCGUCACCUAGAGAUGGAUCCGCGGUGCAUUAGUUAGUUGGUGGGGUAAAGGCUUACCAAGACGAUGAUGCAUAGCCGAGUUGAGAGACUGAUCGGCCACAUUGGGACUGAGACACGGCCCAAACUCCUACGGGAGGCUGCAGUAGGGAAUCUUCCACAAUGGGCGCAAGCCUGAUGGAGCAACG